AUUGUUUUGGCAGAAUAGUGCGAUAGAUUUAGAAUCUUUUUAUGUAAGUUAUUUACAAAUAAUA
rnacentral:tRNA from 1 species